rnacentral:piRNA from 1 species
UCCAGUCACAGGUGGUGAAGUCUACAUUU